UAAGGCCGAUGGCGACCGGCGCACGGGUGAGUAACACGUAUCCAACCUGCCGUCUACUCUUGGACAGCCUUCUGAAAGGAAGAUUAAUACAAGAUGGCAUCAUGAGUUCACAUGUUCACAUGAUUAAAGGUAUUCCGGUAGACGAUGGGGAUGCGUUCCAUUAGAUAGUAGGCGGGGUAACGGCCCACCUAGUCUUCGAUGGAUAGGGGUUCUGAGAGGAAGGUCCCCCACAUUGGAACUGAGACACGGUCCAAACUCCUACGGGAGGCAGCAGUGAGGAAUAUUGGUCAAUGGGCGAGAGCCUGAACCAGCCAAGUAGCGUGAAGGAUGACUGCCCUAUGGGUUGUAAACUUCUUUUAUAAAGGAAUAAAGUCGGGUAUGCAUACCCGUUUGCAUGUACUUUAUGAAUAAGGAUCGGCUAACUCCGUGCCAGCAGCCGCGGUAAUACGGAGGAUCCGAGCGUUAUCCGGAUUUAUUGGGUUUAAAGGGAGCGUAGAUGGAUGUUUAAGUCAGUUGUGAAAGUUUGCGGCUCAACCGUAAAAUUGCAGUUGAUACUGGAUAUCUUGAGUGCAGUUGAGGCAGGCGGAAUUCGUGGUGUAGCGGUGAAA
rnacentral:rRNA from 1 species